UACGAGAGGCCCAAACGUUAUUCGGAAUUACUGGGCUUAAAGAGUUCGUAGGCGGCGCGGAAAGUAGGGUGUGAAAGCCCUCGGCUCAACCGAGGAAUUGCGCUCUAAACUACCGUGCUUGAGGAAGCUAGAGGUGAGCGGAACUGAUGGUGGAGCGGUGAAAUGCGUUGAUAUCAUCAGGAACACCAGUGGCGAAGGCGACUGUCUGGGCCAAUACUGACGCUGAGGAACGAAAGCUAGGGUAGCGAACGGG
rnacentral:rRNA from 1 species